CCUACGGGAGGCUGCAGUGGGGAAUAUUGCACAAUGGGCGCAAGCCUGAUGCAGCCAUGCCGCGUGUGUGAAGAAGGCCUUCGGGUUGUAAAGCACUUUCAGCGGGGAGGAAGGCGGUGAGGUUAAUAACCUCAUCGAUUGACGUUACCCGCAGAAGAAGUACCGGCUAACUCCGUGCCAGCAGCCGCGGUAAUACGGAGGGUGCAAGCGUUAAUCGGAAUUACUGGGCGUAAAGCGCACGCAGGCGGUCUGUCAAGUCGGAUGUGAAAUCCCCGGGCUCAACCUGGGAACUGCAUUCGAAACUGGCAGGCUAGAGUGGUGUAGAGGGGGGGAGAAUUCCAGGUGUAGCGGUGAAAUGCGUAGAGAGCUGGAGGAAUACCGGGGGCGAAGACGGCCCCCUGGACAAAGACUGACGCUCAGGUGCGAAAGCGUGGGGAGCAAACAGGAUUAGAUACCCGGGUAGUC
rnacentral:rRNA from 1 species